GCCCAGAUAGCUCAGUCGGUAGAGCAGGGGACUGAAAAUCCACGUGUCGGUGGUUCGAUUCCGCCUCUGGGCACCA
rnacentral:tRNA from 1 species